rnacentral:pre_miRNA from 1 species
UUCUCUCUCCUCCUCCCCUCACUACUCUCUCUCUACCUAGGUAGAGAGAGAGUAGUGAGGGGAGGAGGAGAGAGAA